rnacentral:rRNA from 1 species
AUUGAACGCUGGCGGUAUGCCUUACACAUGCAAGUCGAACGGCAGCACGGGUGCUUGCACCUGGUGGCGAGUGGCGAAGGGGGGAGUAAUACAUGGGAACAGGUCCUGUAGUGGGGGAGAGCCCGGCGAAAGCCGGAUUAAUACCGCAAACGAGCAACGGAUGAAAGCGGGGGACCUGCGGGCUUCGCGCGUUAGGGUGGGCAGAUGGCUGAUUAGCAAGUUGGUGGGGUAAGGGCGUACGAAGGCGACGAUCAGUAGCGGCUCUGAGAGGACGACCAGCCACACUGGGGCUGAGGCACGGCCCAGCCUCCUCCGGGAGGCAGCCGUGGGGACUUUUGGACGAUGCGCGAAAGCCUGUUCCAGCAAUGCCGCGUGUGUGACGAAGGCCUUCGGGUUGUAAAGAGCUUUUGUCCGGGAAGAAAUCCUUGGCUCUAAUACAGUCGGAGGAUGGCGGUACCGGAAGAAUCAGCACCGGCUAACUACGUG